rnacentral:lncRNA from 1 species
UUUAUGAAAAUUAAUUGUUAAACAAGAAUGUGUCCAAAGUACACGGAUGCCCCACUCGCACUAUCCUUUUCCAUGUUCCAUGGACCGUGAAAUUGGGUAAUAAUCUAAUUUGGUAUUAAAAUUAGAAAGAUUAUACUAUAGGGAACAUAUGUACUAAGUUUCAAGUUGAUUGGACUUCAAUUUUAUCAAAAACUACCUUGACCAAAAACUUUAACCUGAA